UACGGAGGGUGCAAACGUUGCUCGGAAUUAUUGGGCGUAAAGCGCACGUAGGCGGUUUGUUAAGUCGGAUGUGAAAUCCCUCGGCUCAACUGAGGAAGUGCAUCCGAAACUGGCAAGCUUGAGUACGAAAGAGGAUCGCGGAAUUCCCGGUGUAGAGGUGAAAUUCGUAGAUAUCGGGAGGAACACCGGUGGCGAAGGCGGCGAUCUGGGUCGAUACUGACGCUGAGGUGCGAAAGCGUGGGGAGCAAACAGG
rnacentral:rRNA from 1 species